rnacentral:rRNA from 1 species
AUGGCCGCCGGCGACGUCGCGACGGUGUUCCUCGAGAUGAGCCUCGGCACCCGCCUCGCCGUCUCCUUCCCCGCCUCCUCCACCACCGUCGCCGACCUCAAGCGUACGUACCCCUUUUCUUUGAGCUCUUCUUUGCUUGUCUACCUGGCUGUAUGUCUCGCUUCAAGAUGCGAUGAACAAGUCCUCCUGCAUCUAGAACAGAUCUUGCAUUUUGCUUCUUUCUCUUGGUUUCAAAUCGAGUCAAAAUCAAUUCGGACAAAACCCCAAUCUUCAUUUAUUUCACUUUUGUUUGCGGGGAAAAACCCCAAUCUUGAUUUAAUUUCCUUGUUCGGGUUACCAGGCAGAGUGAGCCAUGAGCACGCCGCAUGUUUCCCCCACCUUGGCCAGAUCGCCGUCCAAUCCAUCAAGAUCGAGCACGGAAGGUCGUGGUUCCACCUCGCCGACUCCAUGGCCGUCCGGGACGCUUUCCUGUUCCAAGGGAUCAACGAACGCUGGCACCUGCAGGUAGACGCAUCUCUGCAAGUUGACCAAGGGAUGGUCACCCAGGGACACAGCGGCGGCGCAGACUCUGCAAAUCACUCUGCACCUGCGCCUGGUCGUGGCCAUGGAUGCGAGGGGUCGUCGAGCAGGAGGUGCCGCAAGACAUCAAGCUCUGAUGAGAUGCUGCCUGAUCAGGUUGAAGCUGAAGCUCAAGCUCAAGUCACCCCCAGUGAAAGGGAGCAGCCAUUGACAGGCAAGGGCGAAGGAAGCAGCGACGGGGCAGAACAAGACAGAGAGCAGGGGGCAUGGGGGAGAAGGCUGCGGCCGAGGACCCAUGUUGGUAAAACACCAAUUACUUUGUCAAGCGGCAGCAGCAGCAGCUCAGAGUCGGAGGAAAUGGACACCAACACCGUCGGCGGCGGCAGCAGCAGCAGCUCCGAGUCGGAGGAAAUGGACAUCAACACCGUCGUCGACGCGCCGGCGCCGCAGUUCGUCGUCGAGCUCAAGAAAUGCCACUUUGUCAAGCAGAAUGGGCAGUACCUGAACGUGCCGAUGGAGUUCGGCAUUGUGCACCGGUACACGGAGAAGAAGAAGGUGCUGCUGCGGAUGGGGGGCGACUCGUGGGCCGUCAGCCUGAAGCACGGCCUUACGUCUACCGGCAGGCCCCGCACGUCCCUCCGGUACGGGUGGCAGCAGUUCCGCGUCGACAACCGCCUCCGCGUGGGCGAGACCUGCUUCUUCCGAGCCCUCCCCGGGGACGGCGGCGGCGAUCACCAUGUGCUCAAGGUGGAGGUGCGCAGGCUAGACGGCAGCUACGCCACCUGA